GUGGGGAAUAUUGGACAAUGGGCGAAAGCCUGAUCCAGCCAUGCCGCGUGUGUGAAGAAGGUCUUCGGAUUGUAAAGCACUUUAAGUUGGGAGGAAGGGCAGUAAGUUAAUACCUUGCUGUUUUGACGUUACCGACAGAAUAAGCACCGGCUAACUUCGUGCCAGCAGCCGCGGUAAUACGAAGGGUGCAAGCGUUAAUCGGAAUUACUGGGCGUAAAGCGCGCGUAGGUGGUUUUGUAAGUUGGAGGUGAAAUCCCCGGGCUCAACCUGGGAACUGCCUCCAAAACUACUGAGCUAGAGUACGGUAGAGGGUAGUGGAAUUUCCUGUGUAGCGGUGAAAUGCGUAGAUAUAGGUAGGAACACCAGUGGCGAAGGCGACUACCUGGACUGAUACUGACACUGAGGUGCGAAAGCGUGGGGAGCAAACAGGAUUAGAUACCCGAGUAGUCC
rnacentral:rRNA from 1 species